AUGUUCCCCAUGUUCCAGGAGCUUGCACCGGACAACCCAGAUGACAAGUGUGGUCACCACUACGCGAUUUGCCUUGACUUGAAGAACCAACGAUUUGAGGUGCUUGAUUCAAUGCAUUCAGAAGCUGAUGAAGACCUUACUACACAUGCUAAAUUCUUUAUCAACAACAUGAAAGAGACAUGGAUGCGUCACUAUGAAAACUCAAAGGUCCAGAUCAGUCAUUUUCCAAUCGAGUAUGUCGCGACUACGAAGCAAGGAAACUAG
rnacentral:rRNA from 1 species